UUAAUGUUUCAUGUUGUUUGAAUCUUUAUUUAUUUAUUUGUGAAUAUUUAUUUCUAAUAUUUUGCACCGAGCAGGGGGACGUUCCUCGUAUUUGGCAGAUUAUUUACAUUCAUUAUUGGACGUUAACACUCGUUAUGAUCCGACUCUGCUUCUUCAAUAAUGAACUGAAGUAGAUUUACCUCCUUAAAGACGUUUAAUGAUUUAUAUUUGCGGAUGAAAUUUACGAACAUUCAUCCUGGAGAACAGCAGACAGACUCUCCUUGUUUUAAGCCAGAUGCCCACAUGUCCUCCUUUUUUUCAAACAACAGGGAUCGUUGCCAUGCCGACCCUUGGGACCUGACCUCCCCAGGGGUGAGAGGUCAUCCUCCCAGCCUGCUGCUGUUGCCACAGUGAUGAACGGCAUCCUGAGAAGUAAGUGUGAGAGUGUGUGUGUGUGUGUGUGUGUGUGAGGGGUGAGAGAGUAUUUAUGCAUCUGCCAGAACCUCUGACUGUGUGUGUGUGUAAGUGUGUGUAUACGUGUGUGUAUCUUUGUUCUCGAUCAGUCAUAAUCUGGAAUAGACUCCUGAUAAUUUCAUUAGAAUAUUACAAUCUGAUUAUGAGACAGCAGCAGGUCUGUGUGUGCAGACGGGCCACACACAGAGCAAACACACACACACACACUAACACACUAACACACACACUAACACACACAUGCACGGAUCUGCAGGACACCAUGUACACAUCUGAGACGCUCUCCCAGACCAACAGAGGGCUCCUGUAUCUGCGUCUCCUGGGGGUCAAUUUGCCUCAGGCCACAGGAACGACAUCACCGCAGAGGUCAAAGGUCAUGACACUGUGGGUAGAAGUGGGGUGUGUGUGUUUGCGAGUGUCCCACAUAGAAACAGAGAUGGAGGAGCCUCAGCUGAAGGAUGGUGUCGGUGCAGAGACGUCGUGUUAAUGUGUUUUUGAAAAGAUGAAGUGAGAUCUAGGUGUGCGGCUCUGUGCUUGUGGCCUGCCUGAACUAACUCUAGUCUCUGUGAUGCUUUUGUACACCCUCUAUUAUCACACCCGCACCUCAGACCAACAAGAGUUCCCCGUCCUGACCUCUGCCUCAUCAGAUCUGAAUCUUAAAUCCGUUUAUUUUCAUCGCUGUCGUUCAGCCUCACUUCAGAGACGGAGAAAAUGACAAUAUUUUGAAACUUUUCUCAGGAUUAAGUUCGUAGUUUCUCCUCUCCAACUUUCACCAAUCACCAGAAUAUUCCUGCAACAAUAAGUGCAACACGAUGUCGUUCUGCGUCCGAUAUCAGCCGAAAACAACGAGGAACAGAGAGAAACACACAUUCAUUCUGCUCAGAGGAAACACCUCACAACCUCGCAACCAUCACUCAUUCAUAGCUGCAGCCAUUUUCUCUGUCAGCCCGCCUAAAUGCAUUGUGGGAGCAGGAUGAAUGUGUGUGGUGAUAUGUGUAUUCUGCGUUUGAUGUGUGUGUGUGUGUGUGUUUCCGUGUGUGUUUCCGUGUGUGUGCAGUCAGCAGGGGACGUGGAAAACAGCAGUUGGCUUUGCAGAGAUACACGGUGGGCUUGUUCACUAAGAAAAUAGAUAUCAUUAGCUGGCUGCUGCACACACACACACACACACACACACACACACACACACACACACAACACACACACACACACACACACACACAAAGAAAAGAUAUCAUUAGCUGCCUGUUUAGUAUUCAUACCCAUCCGCUCUACCUCUGCUGCUCACACACGGCGAGGCAGAAAUUAGCCAGCAGCACCUGACACUCCAUCAUGAUGUCACAGCGGGAUUUGGGUGGGUGUGUAGGUGUCCAUCUGAGUGUGUGUGUGUGUGUGUGUGUGUGUGUGUGUGUGUGUGUGUGUGCACCACAUUAGAGGCUGGGAGGAAUAAAAGCCUCCAGCCAUUAGCUUCCUAACACACCCUUGGCUUCCUGGAGGGAGACGCAGAAAGAGGAUGAAUGGACGUUUACGGAGGACGGUUUCACGUGAAACAGCCGAGAGGGCGAGGAAACGAAAACACAAACCUGAUCAGGAGCGAUGGCGGCUCUUCAGGGUCUAAAACUCACGGGGGGGGGACAACAGGUACCUUUAAAACCCGAUCCAUGUUUUUAUAAUCGGAGGGUUCAGAUAACUCAGAGGUCUGAAACAGCCUUUCAUUUCCCGACUGUUUCAGUCAGAAACAGCAGCUACAGCUCGCUCUUCAGCGCAGUCUCUGUUUUACCCAUGAUCCUUUGCUGCAUGUCAUCCCCACACUCUGCUCCAUGUUAACUGUCCAAUAGAAGCAAAAAUGUCCCAAAGCUACGACUCCCUGCAGGAAGAAACGACAGAUUUUGACGAUAAAGCUCUUUACAAACCGGGAGACCGUGUCUUUUUCCCCCCCAGAAAGUCGCAAAAUCACACCGGGCUUACAGUUUUAAUACAAAUGUAAAAACACAAAGUAAUAUUAUACCUUUAAGGGAACAUGAACGUUAACGCCUCAUAGGUUUUGAAUGACAAGAAAGAGAGAAAAAUAAAAAUAACAGAGAAAAAAUAGAGUUAUGAUCAAAACAGGGAAAAUACUGAGAGAAAGUCCGGUCAGAAGGAAGGAAGAUUUCUAAUUAGUCUUUACCAAUUUUCCUUAAAUUCAAAGAUCUUUGUUGUCUUUGAUUAUAAGUUUAUGAAAAAGGUCAAAGAAAGUUGAACUCAAACUAAAAACAGAUAAAAACGACCGUGAAGGUCAGCGUCCACACGGUCUGAAUCUGUUAAACUUCCUCUCUACAAAAAUCACUUUUACAGUCUGAGCUGAAUCUGAAAUGAUUGAAACUUUAUGAUCAUGAAGAAAUUCGAGUUAGUGAACAUUUCAGUAAGUUAUUUUAAACAGAGUGAAACAGUCUUUGUGUUUACAGUCUUUGCAGUGCGCUGUAAUCCGACAUCUUCACCCUCUAAACGCUGAAAACUCACAGGAGUCAGAUUUUCAUCAGAGCGCUCGGUCCGUCUGAUAUGGACCGUGGCGCCUCCAUGAACCCGGACUCAGAUGAUACCAGACUGUGACGGUCUCUCUGCAGUCCCUCAUAAAAACCCGGUUUAUCUGACCUCCUCCAGAAGCUGCCCAUCAGUGAAGUAUUGAUCCUGCUGCGCAUCAUCGAUAUAUUCGCUCCUAAUCAAUGAUCUGCUCUUAAAACUCCUCCAUGCAGAGAGGAGAAAUGGACAUGUAGGCGGAGAGCUAAUGACAUAAACGUAUUAGUAAUGAUAUUGUAAAUCAGAGCGAGGGAGGAAGAGGAGCGUCAUCGACACCUCUCAGAAACAAAUGGCUUUAAUGUAAAUUUAACAUUAUUAUUAUAGAGAGGAGGAAAACACAGGAGGGAGAGAAAUGUAUCCGUAAUUUUAUUAAACGAGAGAGAGAGAGGAAAAAACUCAACGAUGAGUCAGAGAGCGAGGAUGCCACAACAGAGCGUGUUUAUCAGUGACGAUGGUUAAAGAAUAUAAAUAUAAAUAUAUCUGUAAAUAAAUGAUCGUGUACGGAGGAGCAAGAGUCAGACGUCAUGACUGAAAUAGUGACACGAAUGAACAUGAUCAAACUUCAGAGUGUAAAAUUCAAAAUAAACAAUCAUCAGUGAAACAAGUUUAACUUCAAACACUGACUGGCUAAACCGACAGGAUCCUGAACGGCACCGCUCCGGACCGGCAGGCGGAUCAGAUCCGCAAGCAUACAUCGGAGGAGAAGCGCUCGUGAGAUUACCGAUAUUUAUCGCGAGACUGGACGAGAUCUCACAAGCUUUCACGUGUUUCCCCAGGAGUUAGCGAAUAUAAACACCUACAUCCCACAACCCUGGCCUCUCCUGUUAUCAAGUUAACAGUUCAACAUAUUAACUUUAUUUUAUUUUGAAAAUCAAAUGGAUAUUUUACUCUGUAACCACAUAAAACUUCCUCUGCUGCUCUUGUUGCGCUGCACUGAAUUGAUGCGCCGUACUCCGGCCUCCAGCAAAAAUAGAAGCCCUGUGUAUCUGAUCCGGCUGCCGGAGCCGAUCGCAGCGGAGCCGGACGGAUUCUGUUGGAUGACUCACAUUGAUAUACAAUGUCGGAGCGGAGUGAACCCAAAUACUGCAUCCUGAUUGGUCAGAUCCCAAAAAAAGGUGUAAAAGAAAGUGACCCCAGUUUCACAGAAUUUCAUGUUUUAAAUUUCUGUUUUUCAAUUUGCGUUAGUGUCAUAAAGCAGUUCUCACCUAUAGCUGCUAAAAUCUGGACUAUCACUGUUAUCGUGAGGUUAGUUUAUUCUCUCUGUUUUGAUAGGAUGACGUUUACGAGGAGGUCGGUUAGGUCGCUAAAAAUCCCAACAGGCCCUGAGGAAAGGUGGGACAGGAUCCUGAUCCUGAUCCCUCCCUGUCAGGAUUCAGGUCUGAAUGACCACCUGCUCAUUUUACACGACUCGGUACUUUCUGCUCAGUUGAAGGGUUUGGAUCUUUGAGGUUCAGUAUCACUGAAAAUGAUGCUUUAACAGAGUCUUUGGAUAGGUGACUUGUUCCCACACCUCUGAGUCCUCUCUCUCUCUCUCUCUCUCUCUCUCCCUCUCUCCAUCCAUCCCUCUUUCUUUGUGUGUUUGUGUAUAAAGAAGAAAAAAUGUGUGAAGAUGACAAAAUGUGAUAAAGAGAAAAACAAGAGAAAGGAAAAGAAGGAGGAAGAGAGGGGAGGAGAAGGAGGAGAGCUGCAGGGAGACAGGAAUGUGUUGUUUCUGCUGCACAUGAGGAAACAACACACUCAGAUUUGCAUAUGUACACUAACACAAUAACACAAUAACACAAUAACACACACACACACAGCUGCAGCUCUGUGUGGGGGGUCUGACACUGUACCGCCUCAGGGUAAACACUCUACUGCUGUUUGUGUGUAUGUGUGUGUGUUUGUGUGUGAGGAGGUGUGUGUGUGUGUGUGAUUGCUUCAUACAGUGUUGUGAGUGAGUACAGUGAUGUGUACAUGUGUGUGUGUCGGUGUGUUUGGGAGUGUGUGGCGGGUCUUGACCCCCAUCAGUCUCACUCAGGACUCACUUAACAGAACCAGAGGGGGCCUCCAGCAGCACCAGCACCCGGGUCUGUGUGUGUGUGUGUGUGUGUGUGUGUGUGUGUGUGUGUGUGUGUGUGUGUGUGUGUGUGUGUGUGUGUGUG